UCAUCGGAUUACUCGUCAUCGAUAUGCUGAAUCACGAGGUUUCGCGGAGUUUGGAGAAUCGUUACAGCCUAAACCGAGAAUCAGUGAUGGGCGUGUGAUGUGUUUCUUCUACUUAAGUGGCUCAUUCGUUGUGAUCUGGCUGCUACAAAACAUGAUGGUCCUCAGUAUGUGAAGAUUACUGGUUAUGAUUUAUUGAUUGGAUGUGAAAGAGCGUAGAGCUCAUACUUGGUGAAUCUAGCUGCUUAAAAAACGUGGUGGACCUCCCUAUAUGAAGGUUACUGGUUAAAAAGAUUUACUGAUUGGACGUGAAAGAGAGCCCAUUCUUGAUGAAUCUGGCAGCUUAACAAACGUAAUGCUUAUCAGCAUGUAAACUUCACUGGCUAUAACGAUUCAUAGAUUGGACACAAAACAGCGAUGGGAGGUGUUUUCUAUUCGAAGAGAUCAAAGUUAUUAGAUGUGGAAGCCAAACUUUGGUGUUACAGCAGUUCCCUUAGUUAGGUUUCAGCAGUUGAUCUUGAAACUUACGAUGACGAUGGCUCCAAUUACAUUUUUUAAAAUUUUAAUCUUUUUUAUAUUUGAACAUGUGGCACAAUUAUUCUUAAAAUAUUAUAAUUUUUAUCAGGAUAAAACACUAUGAAAUAUUACUAUUUGUAUAAUGUAUAAUUAAUAAGAUAAUAUUCUAUAUCUA